ensembl:lncRNA
GAGCAAGUCUCCCCUGGGCUCAAACUCUCCCUUCUCCCCGGGAGGAAAAGGCAGAGGUGCCGGAUGCCUGGCCCGCUCGUCCUGCCCGUGUCCUCACAGCUGCGGCUCCGUCAUUCUGUGUUAACCACCAUGGGGUCCCUGGUCCCCCAGACACACCAGAUACUCCCACCCAAUCAUGAUUGUUUCCUUAGGAUUCCUUCCUAAAACGGACUUGCUCGGGGGUGGGGGGGGAAUGUACAUUUUUUUAAAAGCGUUUGACAGGUUUCUGCAGGAAGGCAGUGUCCCUCUCCGUGCUUUCCAGAAAUGGGCGAGCGUGUCUUUCCCCUGCACACUCGCCAGCGCUGGGUGGUGCCCUUUUCGGAAAGCCUUUCCCAGCAUCUCCCUCGCCACUGUCUUGUCCAUGAGGGUUUUUCAGAAAGAGCUUUGGAUAACCGGAUCAAAACCCAACCGCUUUGCAGCGAUUCAGAGACGGUCCUCCGGUGGGUGUGCUUGUAACCAUCCAGAUAACCGCCGGGGCAGGAGCCCCGAGGCGUGACUGGUGGAGGCGGGACAGGCUGUGCAGACGCCGCCGGCCUUUCCAGGAGCCUGACUCGAGGGAAGAGAGCACGUCGGUGUCUGGGGGAGAGCGGGGAGGGGCUCUUUUCCACAUGCCGCUUUCCUGAACUGUUGCUUUUGCCAGCCACACUCUGGACACGGAAGGCACGGAGACAGCGGCUGCUCGCAGGUUUUGCUGCCUUCCAAAGGCCUGCCCUCGACAGUGGUCCUCAACCUGAGAGAGCCUCGGAGUCCCCCGCAGGGCUCGUUAACACCCAGACUGCUGACCCCGUAGGUCGGGGAUGGGGCCCAAGAACGAGCACUUUUAACAAGUUCCCAGAUGCUGCAAGUCGGGUCCUUCGAGAACUGCUGGCCCAGAGCCCUGAAGCUCGUCUCUUCCCACUGGUUCUUCUCCCUUCGGGCUGCGUUAGGCACCAGCCUCUGUGCCCCACAGAAUCCCCGUGCCUGGACUGACCUCGUCAUAAGGCUGCGCAGUCUUCCCGGGCCUUUCUCCCCUUUGUGAACCUGAACCCUAGGGUGGGGACCCCCUCUUCUUAUCUCCAUCGCUCCGGGAAGUGUUGAACUGCUCAGCUCUGAGGCUUUUGUUGAAAGUCCCCAGAAGUAUGAGGUGGCUGGAGUGACAUCCCUGGGGGAUUGCACCAGAAGGGCGUGUGCUGGCCAGCAGACAGGCGAAGGCUAGAGGUCACCCUGCGGUUUGAAAGUUGGAGAGUUAUCCCAGGAUCCAGUCUCACUUCCUCUGACCAUCAGAUUCUGACGUCAUGAAGAAGACACUCAGAAACGAAACAGAUCCCCAGCGCAUGGGCUUGUUUGUUGGGGGGGGGGGGCGGCAGAUGGAGACCCCGAGAAGGGAGUGACUCAGGGUCACAGCCCCGACGGAUGAUGUAGGUGAGACUCGAACCCCUGGCUCCCCUGACAGCCCCCAGUAGAGGAGGGUGAGGAGGGAGUGCGGUGGGGACAGAGGCUUGGAAACCGGCCUGGGUUCUCCCCCGUCACGGGCUUUGGACACCUCUCUCCAUCCCUGUGGGCCUCUCCCUGCUCUCCUGCCUCCUGAGUCUGAUACCAGGCUUGGUACCAAGGGAUCCUUUGUGGGAAUGGACCGAGCCCCAUGCCUGGCCCACGGGGGAUGCUGGAGACCUCCUGCCUCGCUUGGCCUCCGCGGGGCUUUCCCGGGCCCCCACCCCACCCUGUCCUCGGCACCCUUGUUCCGAAGGGCAGUGCGGUCUCUGGCUGCGCUUGGGCCCCACGAACCUCCUGCUCCAAGAGGGGAGCAGCUGAAGACUCUUUCCAGUUUCUUCCAGGAAGAGCGCACACCUGAAGGUGCAGAUGGUACCUCAUGUGAUGUCAGCCCCGAUCACACUUUGUCAGCGUCCCUCCCUCCUCACCACAUCCUCCUGGGGUUUUCAGUGUCAGCGCGCAAGUGGAAGGUGCAGGCGCGAGUUAAAUAUAGAAAGGCACCUACUCAGGGUGAAAUGCGUGGGCCGAGCCUCGGAUGAGGGGGCGUAAGCGCAGGCUAAAUUUAGCCGCCCCACUUCCUCUCCCGGCCCCUCACAAGGCCUUAUGCAAACGCCGACGCCCGUCUGUUUCCCGCUGAGGAGGACUCAGGGCUGAGGACAUGACCUUGGAAAUGAAGCCUGCCGGUUCCCCAGGGCCCUCAGCCUCUUGCCCCUUGCUCGUCCCACCUGUUAUCACUUUUUGCCCUCACAGCGGUUCCCAGAGCUGGGCAUGGAGGGUGUCACCCAUCUCACUUCACAGAUGAGGAGGCAGAGGGACCUGCCCACCUUCAUCUCGAGGCGGAGCCCGGACACAAGCUCAGGGUUUCGCACUGACUCCCCGGCAGUUCCUGAGAAGGCAGCCGCAGCGGCCGAUCCGUGUCCCCCGCCCCCCCCGCCCCCCGUCUACGGCUGUUCCACGGCAUCCAAGCAGUGUGCCCCUCACUGCAGGUGGAAAACCUGCUGCCCACGGAAGGGUGAGACCCGGGGCCCGCCAGAGCGCUGCUCCUCCCGGUCUGGUCCUCGGCCCAGCAGCCUCAGCCUCCCCUGGAACGCAGACCUGGGAACACAGAAGCGCCAAGACCCCGCCCUAGACGGGCCAAGUCCCACUGUAUCUUAACAGGGCUCCGGUGCGACUGGGGUACAUGCUUUAGCUUACAAAGCUGUGGCCUCGUGCUCCAAGUGGUGCUCACUGAGAGAGUCAAUUCGUGGAAUUUUUAGAUUCCGGAAAUUUGUUCUUUCGUUCCCUCAUUUAUCGAGCUGCCACUUAUUAGCUUCUGUGCCUGAGGCCUCGUGCUAGACUCCGAGACAGAAAGUAGCUGCUAACACGUGUAAUUACUUGCUGGGUGUUUGGAGAGCUGUUUUCGAUUUGUUCCGUUUUUUUUAACUGAGUUGUAUUCGGCAUGUAACGUUGUAUUCGUUUCCGCCGUGUGACACAAUGACUCAGUAUUUGUAUACGUUGCGACGGGAUGGCCAUGAGUCUCCUGAACCUCCAUCCAUCACCACACACGGUUACCAACUUUUUUUUUCUCAUGAUGAGCACGCUUACGACUGACUCUCUUGGCACCUCUCACAUACACCGUGGAGUAUGGUUAAAACAGUCAUUAGAAUUGUGAAAGUACGGUUUCCGUGCCGUACGUUGUAUCUCUCAGACUGCUCUAUUUUAUAACUGAGGGGUGGUACCAUUUGACAACUUUCACCCAUUUUGUUUCUCCUCCUGUCCCUGCCUCUGCAGCCACCAAGCUGGUCUCUGUAUCUGUGAGCUCCUUUGGGGUGGUUUUCUGUUUUUCAUGAUUUCGAGUCCAUGGUAUUUGUCUGUCUUUGUCACUCUUCAUAAUGCUCUCAAGUUCCAUCCGUGUUGUUGAAAAUGGCAAAAUAGCCUUCUUUUUAUGACCAAGUACUAUUCCACCGUGUAGUCCACUGUGGCUCAGUGGGUUAAGGAUCCGUGUUGUCACUGCUGUGGCUCAAGUGGCUGCAGUGGCACAGGCUCGAUCCAUGGCCGUGGAACUUCCACACUCCGCAGGGCACAGCCCCACAAACACGUUCCACUGUGUAUAAAGAGCACAUUUUUUUUAGCCAUUCAUUCGUUGGUAUACCCUUAGGCUGCGUCCCUGUCUUGGCUCUUUUGAACAAUGCUACAGUGAACACAGGGGUGCAUCUAGUGUUUUCAUUUCCUUUGGAUACAUACCUAGAAGUGGAAUUAUUGGAUCAUGUGGCAGGACUGUUUUUAAUAUUUGGCUGGAUGGAGGUGGCCUCCGAGUCGUGCCUCAACUUCCCCCAGGCCACCACCCUUGCCUGUGUCCUCUGGAGCUCCUUAGAGCACAGGCUGAACGCUGCUCGCGAGACCAGCUCCUUCAUGCUGUAGAUGGGGGAACAGGACC